AAGGCUUUAAGUUAAUUAAACUAAUAGCCUUCAAAGCUAUAUAUAUAAGUAUAAAUCUUUUAAGCCUUA
rnacentral:tRNA from 3 species